rnacentral:rRNA from 1 species
AUUGAACGCUGGCGGCAGGCCUAACACAUGCAAGUCGAGCGAGCGGCGGACGGGUGAGUAAUGUCUGGGAAACUGCCUGAUGGAGGGGGAUAACUACCGGAAACGGUAGCUAAUACCGCAUACCAUCGGAUGUGCCCAGAUGGGAUUAGCUUGUGGGUGGGGUAACGGCUCACCUAGGCGACGAUCCCUAGCUGGUCUGAGAGGAUGACCAGCCACACUGGAACGUAGACACGGUCCAUACUCCUACGGGAGGCAGCAGGGGGGAAUAUUGCACAAUGGGCGCAAGCCUGAUGCAGCCAUGCCGCGUGUAUGAAGAAGGCCUUCGGGUUGUAAAGUACUUUCAGCGGGGAGGCGUUACCCGCAGAAGAAGCACCGGCUAACUCCGUGCCAGCAGCCGCGGUAAUUC